rnacentral:rRNA from 1 species
CCCUACGGGGGCAGCAGUAGGGAAUCUUCCACAAUGGACGAAAGUCUGAUGGAGCAACGCCGCGUGAGUGAAGAAGGGUUUCGGCUCGUAAAGCUCUGUUGGUAGUGAAGAAAGAUAGAGGUAGUAACUGGCCUUUAUUUGACGGUAAUUACUUAGGAAGUCACGGCUAACUACGUGCCAGCAGCCGCGGUAAUACGUAGGUGGCAAGCGUUGUCCGGAUUUAUUGGGCGUAAAGCGAGUGCCGGCGGUUUCAUAAGAUUUUUUUGGAA